UUGACCUCUGAUCAGUAGAUACCCGCC
rnacentral:rRNA from 1 species